ACGGAGGGUGCAAGCGUUAAUCGGAAUUACUGGGCGUAAAGCGCGCGUAGGCGGUUGUUUAAGUCGGAUGUGAAAGCCCUGGGCUCAACCUGGGAACUGCAUUCGAUACUGGGCAACUAGAGUAUGAGAGAGGGAGGUAGAAUUCCAUGUGUAGCGGUGAAAUGCGUAGAUAUGUGGAGGAAUACCAGUGGCGAAGGCGGCCUCCUGGCUCAAUACUGACGCUGAGGUGCGAAAGCGUGGGGAGCAAACAGG
rnacentral:rRNA from 1 species